rnacentral:rRNA from 1 species
UUGGGUUAAGUCCCGCAACGAGCGCAACCCUCACCCUAUGUUGCCAUCAGUUCGGCUGGGCACUCUUAGGGAACUGCCGGCGAAGAGCUGGAGGAAGGGGGGGAUGACGUCAAGUCCGUAUGCCCCUUAUGUCCAGGGCUACACACAUGCUACAAUGGUCGAUACAGAGGGUUCCCAACCCGCAAGGGGGAGGCAAUCCCACAAAGUCGGUCUCAGUUCGGAUUGCAGGCUGCAACUCGCCUGCAUGAAGUCGGAAUCGCUAGUAAGCGCAGAUCAGCAGGCUGCGCUGAAUACGUUCCCGGGCCUUGUACACACCGCCCGUCACACCACGAAAGCCGGUUGUACCAGAAGUCGCUGAGCCAACCGCAAGGGAGCAGGCGCCGAAGGUAUGGUCGGUGAUUGGGGUGAAGUCGUAACAAGGUAAAUGCCA